UACAGAGGUCCCGAGCGUUGUUCGGAUUCAUUGGGCGUAAAGGGUGCGUAGGCGGCGGGCAAGUCUGAUGUGAAAUCCCGGGGCUCAACCCCGGAACUGCAUUGGAUACUGCCUUGCUCGAGUACUGGAGAGGGAACUGGAAUUUACGGUGUAGCAGUGAAAUGCGUAGAGAUCGUAAGGAGGGCCAGUGGCGAAGGCGAGUUCCUGGACAGUUACUGACGCUGAGGCACGAAGGCCAGGGGAGCAAACGGG
rnacentral:rRNA from 1 species